rnacentral:sRNA from 1 species
CCAGGCUGGAUUUUUGACUUGUGAUCCACCUAUUUCAGACUCUCGACUGUUGGAGCUGCAGGCAACGUGCCUCGGGCUUAGCUUCUAACUAACAUGGCCCCAGUAUUUCCGUUUAUUCCAUACUUCUGGGUCAAGAUCUUUCUCAACCUCCGUUCUGCACAGUGAGCGUGCUCUUUGCUGGGAGCUUUUACAAAUCUAAGGUGCCAUUGUGUUACUUCAAGUUGCUGUUGGCAAUAAGAUCUGGGCUCUCGUUCUGAAUGAACGCAGUGAAACAUCUAAAGAAGGCUAACUUUAUAUAGAAAGGGGUUUGUUUACAGCUCUGGAGACGGAAAGGCCAUGAUUGGACGGCUCCAUCGAUUUGUCCCUGUCAGAGCUGGGUUUGCUAGUGGGAAAGAUCUAUUGUCGAACAGGAAACCAGAACCCGAUACAAAGGUAAAUUCAAGGGUCACUCAAUCCUGCAACAACUCCCCCUCUGAAAAACCCAGGGUCCCACUAGAAGGUUCUUAAUUCUUUUUUCGAGAAGAGCUCUCAAAGACCUAAGACUUCCAGCAGACCUGCCUCUUAAAAAUGUCAUCUUCCACAUCGCCAUGCUGAGGACCAGGCUACUAACAAAUGAAUUUUUACCACAUCACAUCGGGCGUAGAAGUUUAAAAACAGACAACUGUGGGGGGUGUGGAGGUCAACCUUGUGAAGGAAGAAGUGGGAUGGGGAGCAGGGCGCCACAGUUCCUGUGACUCCUUGAAGAGUCUUGACCUGCUGUACAGGGCCUUAGAUCUAAGAUGGCUUCCGAACAAUGAGACAGCAAAAGGGAACCAACGCCAGGGUGGUGGCUGCUUCCUGCAUCUUCACAGAAGUUCUAACAGGUGACAGCCGGUCGUCCCACCCCCUCCCCCAUUUCUGAGUUACCUCAUCAGGCAGGGCUUUCAUCAGGGCAUGGUGAUGGCAUGGAGAGAUAUGAUUGGCUCAGACAUCUGCACCCUGAUGCUGCUCUCUGGAGUCCGAGUUCCCGGAUCUGUCAUGUGACUCUUUCACUUCUCAACCCCUAUCCUCAGUCCUGUUCCCACAAACAAACAAACAAUAGCAAAACAACACAACAAUGGCUUUUUACCACUGUCAACUUUAUCCAAGCCCUGUGCUCUCCAAGAGCAGUAACAACUAUAAAGAGAAAGGUGAUGGGUUAAGAUUAUCUAAUUUCACGAGCUACUCACCGAUCCAGAUCUAUCAUACACUUGGUGACUAGUGAGCACGACAUAGUAACUCACAGAUCAGCACAAAGAUGUGCCAAACCAAAGGAGUGAAAUCCUUUAUUGUGUAAUAAUAGAAAGAAAAUCAUCCACCAUGAAUGACAACUCACCCCUUGACUGUUCUAAGACCAUCCUUUCUCAUAAGACGUCUUGAUAAUUCCUUUGUACAAUCGGUUUGUCCACAAAGCUCUAAGAGGCUCUCCUCUGAGCUUUUCCUUGUUAACAAAUUUCCUCCCUAUGGCAGUAGCCUGAACAAAAGAUUACAUCCUUCUAUAGUGUACUUCACCUUUCACAGUUUGAGGUCGUUAGUGGCGAGGAUCCAGCUCUCUUUUAAUUCCACAUGUGUAAGCUGUCUUCAAGAGGUUCAUGAUCUGGUGCCUUUCACUAGCAGCUGGGACACUUACGUUGAACAGCAUAAGCCUGACAGUGUUGAACUUACGUCCCCUGCCCUGGAAAGCAGGGUUGCCUAACGAAUGCUUCAUCCUUUUCAGUUGCAGUUGACCGACUGCAAAAGACCAUCGGUCUCUGUGUACUCUAAAACUAGCCUCCCCUUCUUCCUGACUCCCAUGAACCCACGGGUGGAUGGAUGUCUUUACUUAUCUUCCUCCAAAAUAAUCAAAGACGCCAUUCCUCUUCAGUGAAUGUCCUUACCCCGAGCCUGAGGAAGGUCUUAUCCCGACUGACCGGUACGAUGGUACGGUACUGUUUGUCAUUCACACUUUCAGAAAGGGAGUGUUGGGGUUUAUUUAUAACCGUUAACGAAAGAUGUCCCCUGGCAAGCAGGAGAUGACAAUAUUGAGUGACAGAAGAUGUCUUGACGACAGAAAACAGACAACCAAAGGGUCCACUCCCUCAGCCGAAGCCAGCAGGGAGCUUAGCUUUGGAGCAGGAAAAGAACUGCUCCCAGAAGCUGAAAGAAACGAGAUUCAAGCAGAUGGUGGAACAAAAGAUAUUGUUAGGAACAAUUUCCCAGUAUAUGAAGUGAAUGGGGCUCUGUUUUCUCCGAUUUCCCCAUGAAACCAACCACCCAUUUCUUCCUUGCCGAGGAGUUCUGGUUCUAAAGAGAUGAGGCGACAGCAGGAAGUCCCUUAGAGGCAGAGACUUAUACAUGGCACGGCUGUAAAUGCUUCUUUGCCAAGAGGCGGGUCCAGGAGGACUGUCAGCCUAGACUCCGUAAGAGAAAAGAUCUGUCGUCAGUUAUACACAGAUCUGGAUUUAGAUAAAUGACUCUGCCUCUACUUCAACACCUUCACAGCGAUUUAUACCUUUGUGUAAUCCAAUAUGAACAGCUCCACGCUACUGAACUCAAGGCCUCCCGAUAUCAUCUGAAACAAAGAAUACUCUUGGUAGAAUAGUUCAGUGCAGAAGAACCAGGGUUCACAUGAGGAGUUCUUGGGAAGAAUGACUUGGAUUCAGAAGUACCGAGAAUUCCUUCAAAAUUAUAUGUCAACAUGUCUGUGUACAACAUAUGCACAUGUCUGCGUCUGGGCACAUCAGAGUGUGCCAGAGCUCAUGUGUAUUUUCCUGAAGAAAGUCUCUGCCGUCUUCUAAUAUCUGUAAAGGAAGAAAUCUGUGCCCUUCAAUGGAGAAGAACCACUUUCUACUGCACAUGCUCUGGGCCUUCAAAGACGUAGCCCCUAUACCUCAUUCUUGGUCAAGGCGUGUUCCGAGGGGCAAGUUCAUUACCAUCUAUUUCCAGCCUAGCCGUGUGGAGAAAUCCAGCCUUAUCUGAGGUCAGCACUGAGCUAAGUCACAUCCAAGUCAUUGGCAUUGGCAAGGUGUUCACAACACCAAUGUGUCUCCUAGACACAGGGACGGUUAAGGGUCAGCAGGAGCAAUAGGAAUAAUUAUUUCAUGACAUCCCGCCCGUUUCAUAUUUUCCGCAAAUACUCUCCACCAAGAAUGUAAAGUGACACCCCCCAAAACAUCGUGGCUCGAGAUGAGAUACAAAAAUGAGAUGGAAUUGCUGCCGAGACGUUGUACCUGCUUUUUCUUUCUGAGCAUUCAGACCUGGAUUUCAGAGCUGGUGUCUUGAAUGAACAAUAGAUCUCCGAAUCACCGCCGCAUGUUUCUCUCAAGUUUAACAAAGCAGAGACAAGGUUUAAUUGGCUCACUGAACCGUGUCUUUGAGAGACUUUAAUUUUCUUAUAAGAACAGUAAAUGCCAACAAGACACACAUCCCUGUUCCUCUCAGCUGUUUAUAGUUCAGGGAAGUAAACAAGACAUUAUAUUAAAAACAUUCCCUGAAUGCUGCAACAUCUAUUUUGAAUUUGUACAAGUGUUGGGGGGUGGUGGUGAGAGGGGGUGCUAUAAAAAGCUCCCUCAAAUAUGCCUGAUACCUAGACCCUUGAAGCCUGAUCCUGAUUCUACUGUGGCUGAGCACGCCACUGCUAUCUAGGGGUAUGGAGCAGGCUGGCAUUUGUCAACGUGUUUUGUUUCUAAUGGCUUUGAGAUAGCAUUUCGGAGGCAUAUGCAUCUUGCAGACAUAUGGAAGGAGUGGCAUUUGUCAAGCUGGAUGAAGACGACAUUAAAUGGAAUUCUGGUGUCUCCUAAUAUCCCCUGAGGGGGGAACCAUCACGCUAACUCGGGCAGGGCUUACAAGUGUCGCUUCCUCUGUGGCCAACUUAAUUGCUCCCUUCUCUGUGCAGUGUCAUAGUUGCUGGCCGUUACAUCCGCCUUCUCGGCAGGCUAAGGUCCUGCUGGGCAGAGACUAUGUCUUAUUUAUCUUUGGCAGAAUUUGUGCCCCGACUGUAGGGAUUCAUUUAAUGAGAGCCAAGGGUUAGAUCAGACUCCCACCCAGAUUCUCGACAUGCUCUGCAGUGUACUGACGGUUCAUGUUUCCUUAUGCCUAGGAAUGCACAGAAGGGUUGCACACUCCCUGCGGCUGCAUACGCCCCAGAAGGAGGAGGGGCCUUAGCCUAAGAUUUUUGGGGCCCUGACUUGGUAAAGAAUAUUAGGUAAAAAACAAACAAACAAAAAAACCCAAAAUCUAGUAGCCAAAAUAAUUCAGCUCGGACAUUUCCUUUGCCAAAAUCCAUUGUAGGCGCAGUAUAUCUUUCUUACCUCUGGAAGGCUCUCUGAAGCCCUAGACCAGUUACUGUGCACACGUGAAUAAACCUGCUCUAAGAUGAUAGAGUGACUUACCCAAGUGGUGGCGCUUUCUUGUUCUUCAGGCCUCCCAUCCCCUGAGGAGCAGGCCAGAGGGGGUCAUUUUGCUCUGUUCUCAACGGCUCGGUACUUGAGUGUGGACUUGAUCCUGUCAUGUUGUGAUUAGAGAUCUGUGGCUGUCUCAUUUGGCGUUGAGCUCCAGAGAGUAGGGCUUGUGUCUUGGUUGGUGAGCUUUCAAUGUCCUCAAUUAACAGAGAUGAGAUUAGCCUCUCCCUAUAGCUUUUCUGGAAAGACACGUGAGGAGUGAAUGUCUGUAUGUCUCAGAUAGGACAGAUGACAGACAGAAGAAACCAUUCCAUACAAAUCUGGGCUGGUACAAGAAUGAGUUUUACUGGGACGACUUACAAGAACAAUGGUAAAGAAUUGCUUACAGAGCCACUUACAGGUGACAAUUAUACUACCAGUUUCUCCCCUCCAGCAACUGUCAAUUGCGUACACAUCCUCGAAAAGCACAGGGGCCAUGUGUAGCUUCUGUGUUUACUGUCUUCCCCUAACAUUCUCUUGAAGAAAAGAAACUCAGCUGUAGUUAGAUGUAGUCCAGUGGAGAGGACAUCUUGGGGCAAGGGGAAAAGCUCUGCGUGCAGACAUGCUAAGCUUUGCUUCUUGCAGAUGUAAGGUGCACAGGGCCGGCAGAGAGCAACGAUUUGCUCAGAUUGGUUCUGGGUGGGAUUUGGGGUCGGGGGAUGUCAAGCAAGAACUCCAGUGCCUGUGAACUUCCUGAAGGGGAGAGCUGUUGGUAUCUUAGUAGCUAAGUGCUUUUAAUCUCUUCAAAGAUGCUGCCCAAACUACAGCACCUACAAGUGUUCUCUAAGAGCAAAGGGUGUUGUAAAGUCCUUUGGCAUUAGAACAACUGCUGUGUGUUCAGUCAAGGAAGCCAAGUGUCAAAGAGCCUUACGGGACAAUCCUACUCUGCUGAGAAGGGACACGUGGGCUUAACUAAGAAACUGACCGCAGAGCAGAACAAAGCUGACUGGCUGCGGUGAGCACAAGGGGACUUUCCCUCGUUUUACUCGAUGCUAGGUUUUCGAAAUGACACAAUGAAUGUGUACUUUAUUUGCGCUGAGAAAAUUUAAUAGAAGUUACACAUUUUAAAAUGUUGAAAGACGCAGUCAUGUAUAUAAAUGCUGACACAGAGAGAGAGAGAGAGAGAGAGAGAGACAGACAGACAGAGAGAGAGACAGAGACAGACAGAGAGAGACAGAGAGAGACAGAGACAGAGACGACAGACAGGCAGAGAAAGAAAGGACAUUAUUUUGCUGCUUUUAGUGCCUCAAAGCCUUGCUGUCCCAUCGAACACAUGUAGAAUUUUCUUUGGGGUAGGUCUCUGAAGUUUCAGAAUCUUCUGUGCAAGAACACAUGGAAUCCUGGUGGGCUCCCUCCCAGCCUUCUGGGAAACAGAGAGAUGAGAUGUAGCACAGAGGUGCAGCCGUUCAGUUGCCUGGCUUCACUCCUAAGCGCUUCUGCAGGAAGUGGGCAGGGGCAAGGCGUGGCCCUUGUCAUUCAGUAGUGGCACCCCCUUGCUUACUUAUUAAGGGCAGUAAGGCAGAGCUCUACUAACCCACCCAGCAUCAGCCCCCCACAGCCUUGCUCUUCACCACCAGCCCACUACUGACAGCACAGGAGUGUCCCCGAGCAGGACAGAUUCAUUAGAAACAGCAGGAGGAGGAAGCAGCUAGGCGGCAGACCCACACCAGCUAGCUGCAGGAGAGCCCAGCCCUGCUCACUCAGCCACAAGAGGGGCUGAACUGGGAGAAAAUAAAAGCCAAGACAGCUCCCUAUUAGGAAUCCCGGCAGGGAUAUGGCAAAGCAGUAAGUUCAAAGUUCAAAAUGACAAAUGGUUUUUGAAGACUCUGCCGAAGAGCCAUCUAUCACUGGGUACGGAGAUGUGGCGAGAAGCAUGGGCUUUAUAAAAUAAUGAAGUACUGACUGGACCACAAGAAGGAACAUUAAGAGAGGGUAUGGCUCGUAUACAACGCUUUGGGAUGGCAUCCAUGGAAUGACAGGGGAACAGUUGGUCUUUUCGGUAAAGGUACCAGAUUCCUGAAAGGACAUCAACACACACUGCUUCAUGCUAACUGCUACCUCUUCACAGGCUUGUCCUUGGAUGGAGAGAGAUAAGCUACCUCAGAAAGUCUAUAGAAUUAAAAACUGGGUUCUCCGGGCAUCCCAAAGGAUAAAGGACAUGUCUACUUGUCACCUUUAAUGUGGGUUUGCUCUCUGUUUAUGACUGGGUUUCAUGUAGCUUAAGCCGGGCUUGAAUUCACUACGGAGAUGAGGAUGACAUUAAACUUCUGAUCCCCCUGCCGCCAUCUUCUGUACUGCUGAGAUUGCAGGCUUGCCCCCACCACACCAAGUUUAUUAGCUGCCGAGGUGGUUUUGAGCCUGCUAGGUAAACGCUCUACCAACCAAACUGCCCCGCAGCUCCUACAAGAGCUUUUUAUGUCUUUCCCGGAUGGAAGCUUGCCUACCUCUAAUCCACUCAUGCGCAGGCAAACCCCUUCCCAGCCUGGUCAGCCGACACAGGCCCUGCUGCGGGUAAAGAAGGGGCCAAGGACCCUUGCAUAUCUCUCCACAGGACCUCUGAGAGGCUCACAGGAGAACAUGCAGACGAGCAGGCCCUGAAAAGGAUCGUUUUAUAACCCCUGCAUGGUAAAUUUUUGUUUAUUUGCUUUGAGAUGGGGGUCCUGCUAAUAACCAAAUCUGACCUGGAACUCACUGCGCAGCCCAGGAUGGCCUUGGGGUGAUCAUCCUGCCUCAGUCUCUUAGAUGGGAUUACAAACACGUCCACCUGUCCAGCUAACACUAUGGGCUGUUAAUGAAAGGCUGGGCCACCCAUGACUCUCCCCUCUGAUCCAACGCCUUUAAUAAAAAGAUUCCUCACUUAGCUCCUUUGUCUCUGAUCCAACGCCUUUAAUAAAAAGAUUCCUCGUGCAAUCUGUUAAGAUGAAGGGCUUCAGUUCUCUCCCUGGCCUCUGCAGGGAGUUUCGGCGCCUCCUGCUUAAUCUAUACUCCCCGCCUGAGUUAUUUAUCCCCACCAUUGCACGGCCAAAUCAAUCUUGUCCCACUCCCAUGUUUUUACACCCUCCAUCUAUGCAACAGAAGAGUGGGGUGUGUGUGUGUGUGUGUGUGUGUGUGUGUGUGUGUGUGUGAGAGAGAGAGAGAGAGAGAGAGAGAGAGAGAUAUACAAUACUUCCUCACAAAAGAGGCACAUUCUAUACCACAAUUCACUUUUUAUUAUCAUCAUCAUUAAGAAGAGCUAAGUCCACAGUCCAGUUUCCAGGCAACGUAAGUGUGGCUGCCUUGUGUGCAGGACACCUGCAUGCGAUGUUGUAGCAUGAUUUUUUUUUUUUUUUGGUGUGUGUUUUUUUCUGGCCUUCCAUCAAAGGGAAACCAUGAAGUUCAAAACGGUAGUUA